AGAGUUUGAUCCUGGCUCAGGACGAACGCUGGCGGCGUGCCUAACACAUGCAAGUCGAGCGGAGACAGUGAGUAGCUUGCUAUGAGCUGUUUUAGCGGCGGACGGGUGAGUAACGCGUGAGCAACCUUUCCCAGACAGGGGAAUAACACACCGAAAGGUGUACUAAUACCGCAUAAGACCACGGGAUCACAUGGUUCUGAGGUAAAAGAUUUAUCGGUUUGGGGUGGGCUCGCGUCCGAUUAGGUAGUUGGUGAGGUAACGGCCCACCAAGCCGACGAUCGGUAGCCGACCUGAGAGGGUGAUCGGCCACAUUGGGACUGAGACACGGCCCAAACUCCUACGGGAGGCAGCAGUGGGGAAUAUUGGGCAAUGGGGGGAACCCUGACCCAGCAACGCCGCGUGGAGGAAGAAGGUUUUCGGAUCGUAAACUCCUGUCCUUGGAGACGAGUAGAAGACGGUAUCCAAGGAGGAAGCCCCGGCUAACUACGUGCCAGCAGCCGCGGUAAUACGUAGGGGGCAAGCGUUGUCCGGAAUAAUUGGGCGUAAAGGGCGCGUAGGCGGCUCGGUAAGUCUGGAGUGAAAGUCCUGCUUUUAAGGUGGGAAUUGCUUUGGAUACUGUCGGGCUUGAGUGCAGGAGAGGUUAGUGGAAUUCCCAGUGUAGCGGUGAAAUGCGUAGAGAUUGGGAGGAACACCAGUGGCGAAGGCGACUAACUGGACUGUAACUGACGCUGAGGCGCGAAAGUGUGGGGAGCAAACAGGAUUAGAUACCCUGGUAGUCCACACUGUAAACGAUGAAUGCUAGGUGUAGGGGGUAUCGACCCCUUCUGUGCCGCAGUCAACACAAUAAGCAUUCCGCCUGGGGAGUACGGCCGCAAGGUUGAAACUCAAAGGAAUUGACGGGGGCCCGCACAAGCAGCGGAGCAUGUGGUUUAAUUCGACGCAACGCGAAGAACCUUACCAGGUCUUGACAUCCACUUAAACUUACAGAGAUGUAAGGUGUGCUUGCACAAAGUGAGACAGGUGGUGCAUGGUUGUCGUCAGCUCGUGUCGUGAGAUGUUGGGUUAAGUCCCGCAACGAGCGCAACCCU
rnacentral:rRNA from 1 species